GUGCCAGCAGCCGCGGUAAUACGUAGGGAGCAAGCGUUGUCCGGAUUUACUGGGCGUAAAGGGCGCGUAGGUGGUCUAUUAAGUUAUAGGUGAAAGUUCGGGGCUCAACCCCGUGAUUGCCUGUGAUACUGGUAGACUUGAGUGCAGGAGAGGGGAGCAGAAUUCCCAGUGUAGCGGUGAAAUGCGUAGAUAUUGGGAGGAAUACCAGUGGCGAAGGCGGCUCUCUGGACUGUAACUGACACUGAGGCGCGAAAGCGUGGGGAGCGAACAGGAUUAGAAACCCCCGUAGUCC
rnacentral:rRNA from 1 species